rnacentral:tRNA from 1 species
GGUCAGAUGGCCGAGUGGUUAUGGCGCUAGUUUCAGGCAGUGAAACUGUGCUGAUAAAAAAGCAGUUUCCCCAACACUUACUAGUGGGGCAACCUUCGUGGGUUCGAGUCCCACUCUGAUCA